rnacentral:rRNA from 1 species
AUUGAACGCUGGCGGCAGGCCUAACACAUGCAAGUCGAGCGAGCGGAGGACGGGUGAGUAAUGUAAGGGGACCUGCCUGAUAGAGGGGGAUAACUACUGGAAACGGUGGCUAAUACUGCAUACCAUAGGAUGAAACCAUAUGGGAUUAGCUAGUAGGUGGGGUAAAGGCUCACCUAGGCGACGAGCCCCAGCUGGUCUGAGAGGAUGAUCAGCCACACUGGGACGGAGACCCGGCCCAGACUCCUACGGGAGGCAGCAGUGGGGAAUAUGUCGCAAUGGGGGCAACCCUUACGCAGCCAUGCCGCGUGAGUGAAGAAGGCCUUCGGGUUGUAAAGUUCUUUCGGUAGCGAGGCGUUAACUACAGAAGAAGCACCGGCUAACUCCGUGCCAGCAGCCGCGGUAAUAC